rnacentral:lncRNA from 1 species
GGUUGGGAGCAGCAAACACCGCAGCCCAUUUGAGGUAUGAUAAUCAGCUGAUUAGCUAGUGGAGUCGGUUUCCCUGAGGCUCUUUUGUGUGCAAAAUCCUCACACUCAAUUGACAUGUGGACAUCAUAAAGCUGAUGAAAUGCACUUGUAAUGAACAAGAGGGAGUCGCAUCUGCAGCCGUCUAAAUGAAGGACCCUUUCCUCUCACCAUGCUAAUUCAGAAAAUCUGCUCUUAACGUGUACUCCCUCUGGAUUCCAAAGCCAGGCACAUCUCCAUGAAUGCAUAUUCAAGGAGUGAAUUAGCCUCUGUGGCAAGUGAGUGCCCAGCCUGGCCAGACUGAUGCUAAUUUCAAGACAGAUUAUACAGCAUCAACCGUAGUAAUGAUCUGACAGUUCAUUGGUGACGAGUUUGCAGUCGGGUUUGCUGUCUGGAUGGACACAGGUGCACAGAGAGCCAGCAAGACCUCUCAAAUAAGAUCAGAGGCUGCUGUCAAACGAUUUCAGCCAAAAUAGUCCAACGUAGGAGAAAAAGAGAUAAUGCAUUGAAAAACAAAACAAAACAAAACAAAAAAAAAA